AGAAUGAACGCUGGCGGCAUGCCUAACACAUGCAAGUCGAACGAAUGCCCUUCGGGGUGUUAGUGGCGCACGGGUGCGUAACGCGUGGGAAUCUGCCCUUGGGUUCGGAAUAACAGUUGGAAACGACUGCUAAUACCGGAUGAUGACGUAAGUCCAAAGAUUUAUCGCCCAGGGAUGAGCCCGCGUAGGAUUAGGUAGUUGGUGUGGUAAAGGCGCACCAAGCCGACGAUCCUUAGCUGGUCUGAGAGGAUGAUCAGCCACACUGGGACUGAGACACGGCCCAGACUCCUACGGGAGGCAGCWGUGGGGAAUAUUGGACAAUGGGCGAAAGCCUGAUCCAGCAAUGCCGCGUGAGUGAUGAAGGCCUUAGGGUUGUAAAGCUCUUUUACCCGGGAUGAUAAUGACAGUACCGGAG
rnacentral:rRNA from 1 species